rnacentral:rRNA from 1 species
AUAUCAAUAAGCGGAGGAAAAGAAACUAACAAGGAUUCCCCUAGUAACUGCGAGUGAAGCGGGAAGAGCUCAAAUUUGAAAUCUGGCGGUCCCCGUGGCCGUCCGAGUUGUAACCUAGAGAAGUGCUAUCCGCGCUGGACCGUGUACAAGUCUCCUGGAACGGAGCGUCACAGAGGGUGAGAAUCCCGUCUUUGACACGGACUACCAGGGCUUUUGUGAUGCGCUCUCGAAGAGUCGAGUUGUUUGGGAAUGCAGCUCAAAAUGGGUGGUAAAUUCCAUCUAAAGCUAAAUAUUGGCGAGAGACCGAUAGCGAACAAGUACCGUGAGGGAAAGAUGAAAAGAACUUUGGAAAGAGAGUUAAACAGUACGUGAAAUUGUUGAAAGGGAAACGCUUGAAGUCAGUCGCGUUGUCCGGAAAUCAACCUUGGUUCUCCUGGGUAUACUUUCCGGUUAACGGGCCAGCAUCAGUUUCGAUCGGUGGAAAAAGUCCAAGGGAAUGUGGCAUCUUCGGAUGUGUUAUAGCCCUUGGUCGUAUGCACCGGUUGGGACUGAGGAAUUCAGCACGCCGCAAGGCCGGGGUUCGCCCACGUACGUGCUUAGGAUGCUGGCAUAAUGGCUUUAAUCGA